UAUUUAGCUUAUACUUGCUGCUGUUACAUCCUCAGUCACAGAGAUUUUAUCUGAUCACCUGGCAUUGAUGCAGAAUAUUGAGUUAUCAACCCAUUACCUGCUCCUGACUGAUCUCAGCCCUCUGCAACUAAAGAAGAGACAGUACAAAUACAGAGUGUUGUGUCUGAAUUUUGAGAAGAAUAGUACUCUACAGGAUAGAGAAUCGUGACAUACUGGUAGAAAGCCCUGAGGGAAGGAAAAAGAAAUGGACAUUUACUCAAGUAAUAUCUUAUAUUGUUAACAAGAAUGAAUAUUAAUGCUCACAGUAAUGGCAAUCAGUGGAAGUUCUGAGAGACCAUAACUCUACAACAUUCAGCAUGGAUCAAGUUCACGAGGAAGAAAGAUGGCUACAUGAGUAGGAGUGAUUGUAAAGCUGCAUCUUUACUGAUAAAUACCAAAUGACAAUUUCUUAACAGUUUGUAAGAGUAGUUUUCUAUUUGUACUACAUUGCCCAGUGAUGUUUUUCAUAUGAAAUGAUUUUUAAUUUGAGUGAAAGUGUUUUAUCCUGGCAUUAUGUAACAUUGUGGUACAAUCAUAUUAUAAUCCUACAGUAUGCUGUGCUGAGUAGUAUGUAUUGAAAAUAUUUAUUGAUUUUUUUGUGGACUCAAGAUCUACACAUGAGAUCACUUUUGUGAUCUAAUUGAAAACACCCUUGCAAUCUAACUGAACUGCA